CCUACGGGUGGCAGCAGUGGGGAAUAUUGGACAAUGGGGGGAACCCUGAUCCAGCGACGCCGCGUGAGUGAAGAAGUAUUUCGGUAUGUAAAGCUCUCUCAGCAGGGAAGAAAAUGACGGUACCUGACUAAGAAGCCCCGGCUAACUACGUGCCAGCAGCCGCGGUAAUACGUAGGGGGCAAGCGUUAUCCGGAUUUACUGGGUGUAAAGGGAGCGUAGACGGUGCAGCAAGUCUGAUGUGAAAGGUCGGGGCUCAACCCCGGGACUGCAUUUGAAACUGUUGAACUGGAGUACAGGAGAGGUAAGUGGAAUUCUUAGUGUAGCGGUGAAAUGCGUAGAGAUUAGGAGGAAUACUAGGGGCGAAGGCGGCCUACUGGACUGUAACUGACGUUGAGGCGCGAAAGCGUGGGGAGCAAACAGGAUUAGAUACCCUGGUAGUC
rnacentral:rRNA from 1 species